CAUUGCUUUGAUCGUCUGGC
rnacentral:miRNA from 1 species